rnacentral:rRNA from 1 species
UACAGAGGGUGCAAGCGUUGUCCGGAAUCAUUGGGCGUAAAGCGCGUGUAGGCGGUUCGGUAAGUCCGCUGUGAAAGUCGGGGGCUCAACCCUCGAAAGCCGGUGGAUACUGUCGGGCUAGAGUACGGGAAGAGGCGAGUGGAAUUCCUGGUGUAGCGGUGAAAUCGCGCAGAUAUCAGGAGGAACACCUAUUGCGAAGGCAGCUCGCUGGGACGUUACUGACGCUGAGACGCGAAAGCGUGGGGAGCAAACAGG